UCCUGGGAUUAACUUCAGAAGCUUCAGAUGAGGAAAUCAUCCGCGAAUUGAUGAGCAUGGAUGAAGAGGACUGGGAAGGUAACCUUUAAGCUCUUUUAAUACUGCCAUUCGUUUUUCUUUUUUGGGGGACUCUGCUGUUUAAUUAUGAAGAUAAUUUCAUUUAACAUUAAAGUUAUGGGUUUGAAAGAAAAGAAAAAUGCGUCAAGAAAGCUUAUCUAAAAAGAAAAACCUUCUAUGUUUUUCAUCCAAGAAACAAAGCUCUCUGGGAUUUCUGGUAGAAUAGUGCUCCAAAUUUUGGGGAAAGAUGGGAUAAAAUUUGCUUAUAGUGAUGCGUGUGGCCAGUCUGAAGGUCUAUUAAGUAUGUGGCCAGAGGAUGGUUUUCAAACCUUCUCCAUUACUAUUAGGGAAAGGUACAUCUGGAUUAAAGGAAAAUUUCCCACGAGCCAAGAAAAUGUCAACUUGCUCAACUUAUAUGCCCUUAAUGAGGUCAGGGAGAGGAAGGCUUUUUUUGAAUAAGUGGCAAUGGUUAUUACCAUUGGGGAAUUUGGGUGUCUUGCUAAGGAUUUCAAUACGAUCUUGAAUAAAGAAGAGAGAAUUGGGGUUUUUCAUGUGUCUAGAUCAUUGUGUAAUUUUAAUAAGUUUGUGUGGUCUUAUGGAUUAAUGGACCUACCACUUAGUGGUAGGAAGGUCACAUGGUACAAAAGGUCCAAGGCUAUAGUUAUGAGUCGUUUAGACAAGUUUAUAAUCUCUCCAAAUUGGCUAUAUGCUUAUUCCUCCAUUAAUAAGUGGAGUUUAGAAUGCUCCAUCUCCAAUCAUGUAGCAAUUUGUUUUGGCAUUGAUACUAUCGAUUAGGGGCUUAAGCCGUUUAGAGUGUUUAAUCAUUGGCUUGAUAAUGGUGAUUUUAAUAAUCUAGUGGAGGACAAAUGGAGAAGUUACACCGUUGAAGGCUUUACUGGCUAUAGAAUUCAUCAGAAACUGAAACUCUUGAAAAGAAAUAUAAGGCAGUGGAAAAGAUACACAAAAGGGGAGUGUAAUUAAGGAGAUUGAUGCUAUGGAAAAGGAAAUUGCUCGUUUGGAAAAGGCCCACAAAGAUUACCCUUCUGAUGUUGGGAUCAAGUUUUUAGUUAACACUAAAAGAAAGGAACUAUGACACUUUUAAAGUGUUAAAGAAUAGACAUGGAGGCAAAAAGCAAGUAGGUAUCUAAUUUUGCCUGAAACAUUUUAAUAUUGUUGAUACGAGCCUAUUUUUACAUGUAGGCUAAAAAAUCACCAUCUUAAAGGCCUAUUAAAGCCCAAAAUGUGAUCCAUUAUGCGGCCCUUUUAGGGGCCUUUUACCAGGCCCCAAAAUGGAGUCCAAAUCGACCCAUUACAAGCCAAGGACGAGGCUAAGAUUGGCCUUAGCAAUGACCCAUUUAAAAGGCCCAUCACAUGACUCGAAUAAGAAAAUUCUAAGCCAAAACAAAACCCAAAAUCUUAGCCCAAAUAAAUGAAGACCCAAAAUAAAAGAAAGGAAAAAAUAUGGCUUAUGCAUUUAAAAGCCCAAAAAUAAACCAACAAGAAAUAAAGCCCAUGGUUGAGAGUUUUAUCCUACUACCUCAAGAUUCUUGCGUGGGAUUUUUCAUAGACAAGAGGAAAGAAGGAGAUCACGGGAAACAAAACUAAAAAAAAAAAUGUUUAAAUCGCAAAACAAAAAAGUAAUAGGCAAAGGGAAGCCUGAGAAUACCAUUUUAAGUCUUGCAUAUGAAGGGACAAAAAAGAUAGUCUCAACAUGAGAUAGGCUUAUGGGUUUUAGUAAUAGCAACCUGUAAAACAAAAAAAAAAGAGUUAAUGGCCAACAAAACAAUCUACAAGGGCUGUAGGAAGAAAGGAAAACAACAAAUGGUGAAACUUAAUAAGGAAGGCUUAUAAGAAAGGGGUUUAAGAAAUCCUGGAAGAGGUUUUUUUGGCAAAAAAGAAUAAAGAGAAAACCAAAAAAAAAGUAAUAACUUUAAAAAAAAAAAGUUCUUGAAAAACCAAAAAAGAAGAAUAAAAGAAAAUAGAAAGAGUUGGUGGAGGUUUUUAGUUUUGAAAAAAGAUAUUACCGAGAGAGAUCUGAAAGUGAAAAAGGAAAAAAAAAAGGUUUUCAAGAAUCCAUUUAAAAGAAAAAUAAAAAAAAAGAAUAGCAAAAAAAAAGGAGAGGUCCUAAGGGAGGUUUGAAAGUUGAUUUUUUUAAAAAAGAAAUGAAAAGGAAAAAAGGAAGAGUUUAGUAAACAAGGGAAGCCGAAGCUUUGGAAAAGGCAAAAAAAGGUAAUUAUUUUUUUUUUUGGUUUUUUCCAUGCAUGAGUGCUACUAUGUUUCUGUAUAGGAUUUAGAUACAUAAAGCUUAACGUCACGAGCUUUACAGUUUCUUAUAUGUGAUUCCACGAUUUAGAGGUUUAUGAAAGCAUAAAGUAGUUUUUUUUUUUUAGUAUUUGAAAGCUUAAAAAGUUGUUUUUUGGAUAUUUGUCUCAUUUCAUUUCCUUUUCCUUAAUGUGCUAGGAGCUUCACCCUUCCUUCUAACUAAUUGUUAGCUAUUGGAAACAAAAAAGAACUUUUAAAUGGUUUCAAAGUGGGAAAAUAAAAUGGUUUGAAAGAGGGGUGAAGGAAAAUUUUGAAGGUUUUUUGUUUCUUUUGUGGAAUCUAUCUAUAUUAGUUAAAGUUAUAUUAGUAUAUUUUGUGAAGACUAUUCUUGGAUGCUUAAAAUGUUAUUCAUUCUACAUUUGAUUUUGGUAUGUAUGUGUGUGAAUGUUUAAAGCUUUGCACUAACUGGAUUUUGCAUGAUAUACGAGUGCUUGUAAGGAAUUACUACUUUGUUUUGUUGUGUGAAGAUUGUUCUUAGGUGCUUAGAAUGUCAUUCUUUUCACGUUUGAUUUUGGUAUGUAUGUGUGUGAAAUUUUGAAGCUUUGCAUGUUCACUGGUUUAUGGUAUAAUGGUUGUUUGUGAAGAGAAAAACCUUAAGGCUUUAUGUGCUUGUUCGGUUUUACACGAUCUAUGGCUGUUUAUGAGAGGUUAAAAGUUUAAAACUAGUAUAUUAUUCCAAGGUCCCACCUGAACAUCAAGAGAAAGCUUCAAGCUUUCAUGCCUAUUUCUUGUCCUGUAUGGUGAUCGUAUAAAGGGUGGGUAGAAAACUUAAAACUAGGCCAUCAUUCGUAAGAGAAGUUGUGAAUCUUACAUGUCUAAUGCUCAUCUACAUAGUAGCCGUUCAGGGUGGGGAAAAAACUUAAAACUAGGCCAACAUUUCAGGGCCCCACCACCCAUGUUUUUUAUCGUAGGCUUUAUAUAGAUUAGUAGAUAAUAUAGUACAUUUGUCUUUUAUAUUAUAUAUGUCUAUUUCUUUUAUGUUAUUGAAUUUAAUAUAAGCUUAAAUCUCAUAUAUUAUGAUAUAUGUGUCAUUCAAAGUUUUAUGUUAAAUUUAAUUCCAUGCAAUUUAAUUUUUUGCAUUGUAAAUUAUUUUUUGAUUCAAUUUAUUUUCUAUGCACACUAGCUUAAUGCAAAAUAAUAACAAUAAUAUCCGAAGAUGAUAUUUUUAAAAAAUCAGAGCAGUGAUUAUUUGAAAUCCCUAGAUGAGAAUAAUUUUUAAAAACAUACUAUCAAAGUAAUGGAGUAUUUAGGAAAAUAUUUAAUACAAAAGAUUUUUUAUUCAUUUAUUUUCUUAAAAUUAUAUUUAUAAUUAAAAAAUGUUUUAAAUAAAAAAAUAAUAAAAAGGAAAAAUUAUUCUUCUUAAUAAUAAAUUUAAUACAAUGAUACUUGAAUAUUAUGAUUAAGUAUUUUUAUUUUUAAAUAAAUAUUAAUUAAUAAGGAUAGUAAUAAAAAUUAAAAAUUAGAAUAGAAUUAGAUUAAAAAUUAAGUAGAAAUAAAAAGAGAGGAAACAAAAAUGGAAAUCUUUGUAGAUGGGAUUUUAAGGAAGUCUGAGUAAAGAUUCCUAAAAAAUCCCUAGGUGAAAAUUUUUUUCUAGAAAUACCAUUAAAAUAUUGGGGUAUCUAGAAAAAUUUUUGAUAAAAAGACUUUCUUUGCUUUAUUCCUUUUAAAAAUUUUAAAUAUUAAUGAUUGUAAAAUAACUAGGUGAUUAAGACGAAAUUAAAAUGAGUAAUGAAUAAAUAUAAUAAAUAAUACGUCUUUUAAAAUUAUAUAAAAUUUUUUAAUAAUAAUAAUAAUAAUAAAUUUUCGUAUACAUAUUGCACUUGUCAUUGUCAUUACAUAAUCUUGAAAGUAACGUGAGUUUUCAAUUAUGGGACUUGGAAAAUCGUAGUAAUUCCCUAAAAUUUCUUAGGUGAGGGAAUUUGCUUAAAAACAUUGUCAAAUUAUUAGAAUAUUUAGGAUAAUUCUUAAUACAAAAAAUUCUCAUUUACUUUUUUUUUCUAAAAAUGUACUUUCAUGCAAUAGCAUCAUGAAUUAAUCUAUAAGCAUCAUUUGUAAAAAUAAAUGAAAUCUCCAAGAAUGAGAUCCAAAAAAAGUCCGAGUAACAAUUUUUUAGGAAUCUCUAAGUAAGCAAAAUUUAUCUAAAAUGUCGUCAAUUUAUUAGAGCAUUUAAAAUAAAUUUCAAUAAAAAUUUAUUGUUUUUUAAAUAAAUAGCGUAAGAAAUAAAUUUUUAGAAAAUAUUAUUUGAUUUUAAAUUAUAGAUAUCAUUUUUUAUAAAAUGCUUGGUAAAUAUAAUUAUUGAAGAUAAAUAUGAAGUACCAAUGAUAGGAUUUUUGAAAAUUUUGAGUAGUGAUUAUUAAGAACUCUUCAAGUGAGAAAAUUUCUUUUAAUAAAAUUUAAUUAAUUUUUAGGAUUUUAUUAAAAAGAUAAUUUUUAAUAGGUGGCCAAUCACACAUAGUCAAAAACAAUUGGUGGCAACUCCCAUUUGUUUUUAAAUUUGUCAAAUGGCUUUCAAACCAUUACGGUAGUUUGGCCACUCCACUAAAGAUGUCAAUUUUUUUAGUAAGUCAAGUAAAAGGUUAAUAAUGUGUUAUAUUUAAUUUUGGUUUAAUGGUCUUAAUUUUUUUAAUUUUAUUUUUAUUUUUUUAAAUAAUAAUAACAACAACAAUAAUAAUAAAUAAAUAAAUAAAAUAAAAUAAAGCUUGUAUUUCAUUCUAACCAUGUCAUGUAUAUCUUAUUUGCUCAUUUAUUUUAUGCUUCGUAUAUAAUAUUAUUAUUAUUAUAAGGUACUUAGAAUAAUGAUUAUAAUACUCUAUUCCCUCAUUCACACACAAUACAUUCAUAUCAUGCAUGAGCUCUAUACUAGGGCUCUAACUUUUUUAAGAGGGAGUAAGUAUCUAUGCUAUCAUGAGGUGGUAACCUCCACAUUAGCAAAUGAAACACUCUUAUUCAAAUUGAACCAUUUUUGUUUGUAGCUUGUAAUGGGUGGGAUCAGGGUCCUUCACUAGUCUUGAGUGGAUGCCAGUGAGGAACAAUUUAGGGACUUUAGAUGUGAAUAAACUUGAACCAAGCAUAUAGUAUGCCAUAAGGGCCAACCCUAGGUACAGCUAAGCCCACCAUUUUGUAGAUCAUCCCUAAAAAUUAGGGCCAGUAAAGGAACAUUUGUAUUGCAAUACUUUUCUAAGGAAACUCAUACAUGUACGCAUCCAUAUUUGUUUUGAUUUCUCAAAACCAAAAAAUAAGAUUUUUGUCUCGUUUCCUUGUCUUUUUCUAAAAAAAUAUAUAAAAAGAAAACUUUUCCUCUUGUCUCUUUCAUUUUGCAAGCUUUUAUUGCUAUUAUUAUUUCCAUUUCUUUUUUUCAUACACUAACUUAUCUUUUUUUUUUUGUAUUUCUUUUGCAUAAAUUACAUUAGUAUACUGCAAUAACAUAGUGAGUUAUUUACUCCAAGACAUCUUUAGGCAAAGUUUCUUUUCAUGGAUCCCACAGUACUAGAGAUCUAUUAUUCUUUCGUAAAUGUUCCGUGUGAGUCAUACAAUGAGGUGCAUGAAUGGUAUAAGAAAACCUAACAAAAGGCAAGGAAUUGCUUACCUAUUGGUUAUGUGUUAAGAUUGUCAAAAAAAAUACAUCUGAAUCUUACACAGAAUAAUUUAGAGGAUUUGACUACCAUAGGAAUUAGAUAAGUGAAGCGAGAAAAAAGAGAUUUUUUGAAAAGUACGGGUAGAUUGCAUCUCUUAUCUUAAUAGUGAUUAAGAAGCUUUUGGUUAGGGCAGUUGUUCAGCUUUAAGACCCAUUAUAUAGAUGUUUCACUUUUAAUGAAGAGGAUUUGAUAUUAACCAUCGAGGAAUAUUCGUUUCUGGUGGGAUUGGAAUUGCAUUAUCCUUAUAAAAUAUAUGUCAAAAAACCAAAGUCAAGGUACUAUAAGAAAGCUAAAUUGAUUAGAAUGAAGGUAGAGGCUAUGGAUGCUCUAAUGAAGGACAAAGAAAAAGGUGUCAGCUUACUUUGGCAUUUCUUUCAGAAUUUCAUUUUAAGACACAUGAAAGAUAAUCAAGGUAUGGUAGUAUUCGACCUCGCAAUUUAUAGCAUGGUAAUCUUUCCAAAAACUUUAGGGUAUGUUAAACUGGCAGUGGUUGAUAUGUUUAAACAAAUUAAAAGUUAGGCGAUUAAUCCUAUUUCAGUAAUCUUAGCCAAGACUAUUAAGUCUUUGAAUUUUCAUCACUGAAACGAGGGACAUUUUAUAGGGAGUGCAUAGCUAUUAUUUGUUUGGAUAAAAAGCCAUUUUAGAGGUAAAAAAAAAUGUUUUUUCUAAACCUUAUCUUCGAAAUAGAGCCCCGGUCAAAGAGUUUUGCCAAAGUUAAUGGCCAACACUAAAAUCCAAAGAAGAAUGGAUAGCGUUCUUUCAAAGGCUUACUAGUGAUCAAGUAUGGCACCAUGAAUGCCUCAUGUGCUUAUGUUAUAUCGAGGUGGAGAUGAGCCAUGAGUACUGCUUUUGGGAUUGUAGGGGUGAUAAGUUACGCUUCAUUUAUGGUGCUAAGGCAAUUUGAUGCAAAGCAGUUUGUCCUUGCAACACAUAAACUUGCCUAAGUAGAAUUUGUUUAUGAAAAAAUGUGCUCAUCAAGAAUAAUAAAACAGUCAGUUCAAGUAUGAAAAAAGACUCGAAGGCUAAAAUUAGGACCUAUCCUUGAUAAAGUCACUCUUGAUUACUCAAUUCGAAAGGCACAGCAUUCUAGAGAUAUUGUGCUCCAUUCAAAUGAUUUCUCAUUUCAACAAGUUAACUUAUGGGCAAAAGAACCAUUGUUAGAAGUUGAGCUUGUUAGGCAAGAAUUUGAAGCAAAAAAAGAGAAAUUGAAGAAAAAGAAUUUAAGACUUUGAGAAAAAAGAUGGGAUAAUUGAAAUAUGAAGCGAAAGCCUGAAAAAGUAGACUAAAAAAGGUGAUGCAAGAUUGGGAUGUGGCCAAAAAUGAUUUAAAGAAUUUGCAUCAAGAGAAGAAAAAGAUGCGAACCUAACUGAAUGAGGGAAAAUGUGCCAGACUUUAUGAUAGGCAACAUAAGGAGAUGAUUGAACUUCAAGAAAAGAUGCAACUUUGGAAAGUAAAGAAAAAGUUGAAAAGAUUUAGUGAGAAUAGUAAAACUAUGAGGGUUUGUAUUCAACAGCUUUAGCAAGGUUGAUAGAAUGUCAAAAAGAAAAUGUGAGAUUAAAGGCCCAAAUAAAAGAGGAAAAGAGAAAACACUUUGAAAUGCAAAAGAAAGAGUCACUUUACCAGGUAAUUUAGGAGAUAGAAUAGUAAUUACGAGACCACAAGGACCAUAUUUCCACGGUUAUCAAAGAAUGAUAAAAUAGGGAAGAAGAUUAGAGAUACACAUGUGAUCUUAAAGUGGAUGCUUGCAAGAAGUGGAAGGUAGAGAGCUUGGGAAGGCAACAAUACAUAAAGCAUCUAGCUAUUCAAAUUUGCAAGGCAGUGAGAAAUGCAAGAGAGAUGGUCGAAAGGGUAGAAGCUUUGAUGUGAGAAAUCAACCCAACUGAAAGUUAUAGACAAUGUCUAUUAGACUUUUUGGUUUAAGCUAAAGAUCAUUAUGAGUAAAUUAAAUAUUUCUAUGGUUACAAUUCUAGAAUGAUAGACUCUUUAUAACCAAAAGUUAUUUAGAAUCAAUGAAAAAUUUUAAUGUUUGAGAUAUGUCUUGGAGUAAAUACCUUUUAGUGUCUUCAUGCAUACAUUGUGCAUGUUCUUUCUUUCUCAAUACUUCAACUCACUAAAAUGAUGUUUUUUUUAAAUUAAAAUAAAUAUUUUUCUUUCAUAAAAAUAAUAUGGUGUCCUAAUUUUCAAAUUGUAGUAAUAAAAGUUUAAGGAUGGCUUAAUCGUUGAAAGUUCAAAAUCAAUCAGCUCGCCACUUAUACAAUACAUAUUCAUAGAUCAAAAUUAUGAAAAACGAAUAGGUAGCCAAGAUAGAAAAAAUGAAAAAAGCUUAAAAAGAUAUAUGAGAACGCAUGACUAAAAUGCAGAAAGAGAUGAGAAGGCAAAUGAUAGGUUAAGGGAGUUAAUGGGGGGCACGACCAAGGGAAAAGGUGUGAUUGAAACCUCUACUGUAAGAGAGGAAAAUUAGCCCAAAAAAAAGAACAAUGUUAAAAAAGAGCCAUUUUACCCAUUUAGGUUUACACCACUUUAUGCUUGAGCUUCUCAAGUGGUGUAUCCACCACCAUGGGUGGGCAAUUUUACCCCUUCAUACAUGUGAAUUUACCAGCUAAUUAACAACAAAAUCAGGGGUAAUUUUAGUAAAACCCAAAAUGUAAUCCAAUCAAACCAGUUUUCGUUCCUAAUCUAGAUGAUCCCAAAGAGCAAGAGAAAUUAAGGGGCAUAUCAAAGUUAAAAGAAAAAAAAAAGAGAUUCAGUAUAAAUAUGGCUUACUAUAAAAGAUUAAAAGUUAUGGAAUGAAGGGAUACCUUUGGAAGCAUUGAUGCAAAUGAACUCAAUUUAGUCCCUACUCUAGUAAUUUUGUUGAAGUUUAAAAUUUCUAAUUUUGAGAAGUAUGACAGAACUAAGUGCCUAUUAGUUCAUCUCACAAUGUUCUAUUGCAAGAUGGUAGGCUACACGGAUAAUGAUAACCUUUUGAUCCACUAUUUCUAAGACAGCCUUAUUAGGUCUGUGGCUAAUGGUAUGUUCAAUUAAAUAAGACUCGCAUACAUUCUUGGAAAUAUCUCGUUAGAUCUUUUCUAGGCCAAUUCAAGCAUCUAUCGGACAUGGCUCUUGAUAGGUUGUCAAUUCAAAACAUGAAAAAAAAAUCCAAUGAAAUUUUCAAAAAAUGUCUAUAGAUGAAUAGAUCUUACUAUUCAAGUACAAUAAGUUUGGAUUAAAAAUAAGACAAUAGUAUUUUUUGUCAGUACUCUUAAGGCAUCAUAUUAUGACAAGCUUGUUAGUAAUACAAUGAAGAAUUUUGUUGAUAUGGUGAUUUUUUAUGAAUGAUAAAAAAUGCUAUUAAGAGUGCCAAGAUUGAGAAAGAUGAUACAUUUAGCUCCAAAAAAGCAAUGCCACCUAAGAAGAAAUAUAGAGAGGCACAUGCUAUGGCUUAUGGGAAUCAAUCACCUAGAAAUUUCAUCCCGUAUCACCCCUAUCGAACCUAUCCACCCUAUUACCCCACCACAAAUAACAUUUUUGAAGGUCCAUACUUAUAUUAACUGGUACCAUAAUUGGGUUCCAAUAGAGCUUUCACCCUUAUAUGCCUACUCACACCCUUACACCUGUAGCUCAACCUUUCAAUUUCCUAAACAGUUCAUGAACAAUCUGAGAGGCUUAAGAGCCACUCAAGAGAAAACUCCUAUUGACCCUACUUUCAUGUCCUACACUAAUUUACUCAUUUAGCUGAUAACAAACCAUUUUCUUGCACCUGUCCCCUAGAGCCAUUGAAACCUUCAUACCUUAGAUGGUACGAUCCAAAUGCUCAUUGUGAUUAUUAAGAUAGGGUUAUGGGUUAUUCCAUAAAAAAUUGUACAGUUCUUAAGUACAAAGUGUAAAAUUUGAUCAAAAAAGGAUAUAUAAAUUUUGAUUCUAGCAGAUAAUCGAAUGUCAAUGAAAAUCCUUUAUCAAAUCACAACAUAAUAAACGGUGGUAUGUUAGGGUGCAUUACGAGAAGCAUUGAUGAAAUUAAAAUCUUGAUAGGUCAAGUGUUUGAAAGCUUGGUCAAAGUUGACAUACUUUAUCUAAUUUUCUCAAACUAAGAGAUCCAUCUUGAAGAUUAUGAUCCAGCUCAAACUUGUAUUUAUCAUAUAAAUGUGGUAAGACACUUUAUCUAGAAUUGUGGCAUGUUUUGCCAAGUGCUUCAAGUAAUGAUAGAUUUGUCUUUGGUAGAGCUUUAUGAAAUAGAUAAUCAAGACUCAGUGAAUGCACCAGAAAGAAGAUUUUCAUAAAGCAUGUUCAGCAAGUUUAUCCCUAAGCCAGUGACCAUUUUCUGCAAUGAAAAACCAAGUGUGGUAAAAGAGCAACCCAUUUCUUUUCCCAUGAUGAAUGCAAUAGAAAGAAAACCUUCAGAAACAUGUUUUCCAAAUUUGUACCUAAGCUGGUGACUAUUUUUUGCAACAACAAGCCAUGCUUGGCAAAGGAACAAUUUAUUUCUUUUCCUGUAAGACCUAUAACAAUUCAAACCCUAGCCUAUUCCCUCACCAAAGUGACAAAAUAGUGCCAUGAAAAUAUGAUUACAAUGUCACGGCACAAGGAUCAAAUGACUAUCAGGUUGUAAGUAACCAAAUGCAACCAGCACUGUAAAUAUAAUUGAAGUGGGUGGAAUGACAUGGAGUAAGAGAUUUUAUACUCUAGAAUUGUUAGAAAAAGCUUGAAAAGGAAAAGCUAAAAAAGAAGAAGAGGUGUUGGGAAAAAAAGAAAAGACUUAUUUUUUAGUGAGUUUUUGAAGCUAAUUAAAUAACAAAUGCAUAAAGUGGAAUAGUUAAACAAGAUACCCUCCUAAAUUUUUCUGCUGUCACUAUUGUUAAACUUUGAACCAUAUAGGAAUCCUCUACUGAGAGUGUUGAAUUAAGUGCAUGUGGACAAUAACAUAUUUGUCGAGAAUGUCGACCAUAUUGUGAGAAAUAUUAUGGCUCCAAAUUUUAUAACUUUUAAUGAUAAUGAGAUUCCAUUGGAAGGUCAGGGCAGUACCAAGGUUUUUCAUAUUAUUACUAUGUGCAAAGGUCAUAUCUUAGCUAAAGUUCUUAUUGAUAAUGGCUCUUAAAUGAAUGUCAUGCCCUUGAUUAACCUAACAAAGUUACCCAUUGAUACAUCAUAUAUGAAGACCAAUCAUAUGAUAGUGAAGGCUUUCAACAGGUCUUGAAGAAAAGUGCUAAGAGACAUCAAAAUAUUGAUGCAAAUAAGGCCAUGUACUUUCUCUAUAAAAUUUCAAGUCACAGACAUUUUGUCGUCUUAUGGUUUGUUGGGGUGAUCAUGGAUUCAUAUGAUAUGCACUAUCUCGUCAUCUCUACAUCAAAAAAUAAUGUUUAUAGUUAAAGAUCAACAAAUUUAUCUUUUUUAGAGAAGAAAACUUGUUGGUGACCAAAACUGUAAGUGCUUUUUUAAAUCUUUUGAAUUUAUUAAUGUAACUUAUGUAGGAAAGGGAUCGAAAGUGCCCACUCCAUAUUUAUCAAGUGCAAUAGUGAUGGUCAUCAAAUAAACAGUUGGUAAAGGAUGACGUGUUGGAUAUGGCCUAAAAAAAAAUUUACAAGGAAUUAAUGAGCUGUCAAGGGUAUUUGAAAACAAGGAAAGAUUCGAACUGGAAUCAAGGUCAUUGUAGCAAAAAAGAAGAGAGUUAUGGCUGAAAAAAAAAUUAGCCCAUUUUAAGGAACAUGAGCCAGAGAAUAAGAAAAUGAUUAUUCAUUUCCUCUAUGAUACGUUUCACUCUAGUGGAUGUGUUCACCUUAAUUUAAUAGGAAUCACACAAAAGGAACCCAUGCUAAACAUGGAAAAGGCUUUCUCCGAACUUCAUAUCCAUAUGGUGGGUGAUGAAGCAACAAUAACUCUGGAAGAGAAGCCCCUUGUUUAUGUAUAUCCUUUGAGUGAAGAGCUAUACAAUUGGAAAACAAUAAAGUUACCAGUUAUCCUUAAAUCUUUCAAAAAGUAAUAUAGUGGGUUAUUUUCCCCAAUGCUUUUACCUAAGAGCAUUUGGAGGACUUUUGUGUAUGGGCUUAUCUUUCCUUUAUCAUUUUAAUAAAAUGACUAGUGUUUUUCAUUUUCAUUUCAUCUAUUAUUUCAUUCAUUCAAAGUUACAAUUUCUUUUUCUUUUUUUUUCCUACACAUAAGCCUACAUAUUUUCAAUUUCACCUAAUUUUAAAUUUUCAAAUAAUGAAUACAAGGAUAAUCAUGAUGAUAAUCCAGGAUUUAACUUUGAAAAACUUAUUCAUGUUGAGGAACUUGAUAAUGAAGAGAAUUCAAAUGAGUACAAUUUGUCCCUUGAUUUAUUAAAACUAAUGAAACAAGAAAUAAAACAAAUUGAACUUCAUGAGGAAGCUAUAGAUGUAGUCAAUUUGGGUGAUGAGAAAAAUAAAAAAGAGGUUAAGAUGGGUACAUCCCUUUUUCCCAUAAAAAGAAGAAAGUUAGAGGAAUUGUUUCAUGAGUUUGUUGAUGUGUUUAUAUGGUCAUACCAAGAUACGUCAGGACUCAGUUCAAAUAUUGUAGAACACUGAUUGCCAUUAAAGCCCAAAUGCAAGCCAAUGGAAUAGAAGUUGAGAUGCAUGAAGCCAAACAUACUUUUAAAAAUUAAAGAAAAAGUGAAAAAAAUAAUUUGAUGCAAGUUUUUUAGAAAUAGCCAAAUACCCGUAAUGGAUAGCUAACAAAAUCUCGGUUCCAAGAAGGAUGAAAAAGCUUGAAUGUGUGUGGAUUAUAGAGAUUUAAAUAGGGCCAGCCUCAAAGGCAAUUUUUUUUUACCCCAAAUUGAUAAUUUCAUGGACAACACUACUAGGCACUCCACAUUCUUAUUCGUGGAUGGUUUUUCAGGUUAUAACCAAAUUAAAAUGGCCCAUACUAAUAUGAAAAAAAUCACAUUUGUUACUGUGUAUGGCAUGUUUUACUAUAAAAAGUUAUGCCUUCGGAUUGAAAAAUAUAAAAGUUACUUAUCAAAAAACAAUGGUAAUCUUUUUCUAUAACAUGAUGCAUAAAAAAAUAGAAGUGCAUGUAGAUGAUAUGAUUGCAAAAUCUCAUAAAGGAAAGGUUCACAUUACCAAUCUUAGAAAGUUGUUUAAAAUAUUGCAGAAGUAUCAAUUUAAGCUAAACCUGACUAAAUGCAUGUUUGGUGCUAAGUUAAAAAAAUUAUUAGGGUUUGUGGUUAAUGAGAAAUGCAUUGAGUUGAUCUGGAUAUGAUAUUUUCCAUCUAAAACUUAUCUCCCCAAUGCAUGCAAAAAAAGUUAAAAGGUUUUUUAGAAAGGUUGAAUUACAUUUCUCAUUUUAUUUUUCAACUCACUUCUAAAUGUGACCUAAUUUUAAGUUGCUUUGAAAACAUGACUCCAGUAAAUGAGAUGAGGAAUGUCAAUGUGCUUUUGAAAAGAUUAAGGAAUACAUGUCAAAUCUGUCAGUGUUGGUGCCACUUAUUGCGGGGAAACUAUUGAUUUUGUAUAUCAACGUGCAUGACCAUUCCAUGGGAUGUGUGUUGGGGCAACGAGAUGAAAUAAGCAAAAAAGAGCAAGCUAUUUAUUACUUGAGUAAGAAGUUCACUGAAUAUGAGUUUAAGUAUUCCCAAUUGGAGAAAAUGUACUGCACAUUGGCAUGUAUAGCCUAUACGCUCAGGUAGUAUAUGCUAUAUCAUACUACUUGGUUGAUAGCAAGAUUAGACCCUCUUAAGUAUAUCUUUAAAAGACUAUCAUUGUCAGGGAGGUUAGUGAAAUAGCAAGUCAUACUCUCUGGAUACGAUUUUAUAUAUGUUGCAUAAAAGUUGAUCAAAGAAAACAUGACAGCUAAAUUCUUUAUAGAGCAUGAAACUAAUGAAUAUGAGCCUAUAAAAUUUGACUUUCCUGAUGAAGAUUUGAUGACCAUCUCCAAAUUGAAAAAGGUGAACCAAUAGAAAAGCCAUGGAAAAUGUUCUUUAAUAGAGUUUUGAAUGCUUUAAGGUAUAGGAUUGGAGCAGUUCUGAGAUCCCUUAACGAAAAACACUAUCCAAGCACUAUGAGGUUGGAUUUUAAUUAUACUAACAAUGUGACAAAAUAUGAAGUAUGCAUAAUGGGCUUGCAUAUGGCAAUUGAAAAAAAGAUUAUAGUGUUAGAAACGUAUGAGGAUUCGACCUUGGUAAUUUAUCAAUUAUGAGGUGAAUAGGAAAUAAGAGAUUUAAAGUUGGUACGAUACCAAAAAUAUGUGAUAGAUUUGAUCAAACAAUUUAAGAAGGUUCAAUUUGGACAUGUACAUUGAAAAGAUAAUCAAAUGGCUUAUGCUUUGGCUGCAUUACCUACAAUGUUCAAAGUUAGUGAUAAAAUAGAGAUCCAACCUAUCUUGUUGAAUAUAAAAGAUCACCUAAAAAUGUAUAGGGAUUUGACUUUGGUAAUUUAUCGGCAAUGAAGUGAAUGAAAAAUAAAAGAUUCGAAGUUAGUACGAUACUAAAAAUAUAUGGUAGAUUUGAUCAAAUAAUUUGAAAAGAUUCAAUUCUGGCAUGUACAUCGAGAAGAUAAUCAAAUGUCUCAUGCUUUGGUUACAUUGGCUCUUCAAAAUGAGUGAUAAAAUAGAGAUCCAACCUAUCUGGUUGAAUGUGCAAGAUCACUAGCAUAUUGCUAAGUGUUAAAAAGGAUAUUGAUGUCCUGCCUUGGUACUAUGACAUAAUGCAAUAUGUCAAACACCAACAAUACCUAAAACAUGCAUUAGAAAAUGAAAAACAAAUUAUCAAAAGACUGGCUAUGAAAUUUUUCCUAGAUGGAGAAAUUUUAUACAAGAGAAAUCGAGAUCAAAUGUUAUUGAGAUGUGUGAAUGCUGCAAAAGCAAAGAAGAUACUUGAAGAAAUGCAUGAAGAAAGUUGUGAAGCACAUGCAAACAGUUACAUGAUAGCUAAACAAAUCAUGAGGGUAGGUUAUUAUUGGUUAACAUUGAAAAGUGAUUGCAUUAACUAUAAAAGAAAGUGUCAUAAAUGUUAUAUUUAUACAGAUAAGAUUCAUGCUCUUUUGAUUCCUUUAUAUGUUCUCACACCUUUAUGGUCAUUCUCCAUGUCAAGGAUGGAUGUGAUUAGACCCAUCACUCCAAAAGCUUCAAAUGGGCAUCAAUUUAUUUUUGUAGUGAUUGACUACUUCAUAAAAUAGGUAAAAACUAGACCUAAUAAUUUAAAAUAUGACAGGGUAACAUGACAUGAAUACGAUAUAAAUAUAGGACACGAAGGUGACAUGGCUUAAAAUUUUAGUAAUAACUAUAUCAAGGUUUAACAAAAUAAAGAAAAUAUAUUUUAUAUUUUUAUGUUGAUAUAAAUUAUGACACGUGAUUUUCGUGUAAAAUAUAGUACGAAUACACAAAUCACCAGGUUCGAUAGAAACAACUUCUUAUACUAAUAUGAUAAUGGUGGUGGUGGUAUAGAUUUAUAUAUAAAAAAAGAGAUAAUAUGUCGCUAUGGCCUUUCAGAAAAGAUUAUCUUUGAUAAUGCUUGCAAUUUGAAUAAUAAGAUGUUAGCGAAAAUUUAUGCUUAGUUUAAGGGAAGCCUCAUAACUCGACCCCAUAUCAUCCAAAGAUGAAUGGGCCGAUAAAAGCUACCAAUAAAAAUAUUAAGAGGAUAAUAAAAACAUGACUGAUAAGUAUAAGGAUUAGCAUGAAAAGUUACCUUUUACGCUGCAUGCUUAUAAGACAUUAAUACACACAUCUACUAAGGCAAUUCAUUUUUGCUCUUCUAUAAGAUAGAGCUCGUGUUGCCAAUUGAGGUGAAAAUUUCCUCUUUAAGAGUCUUGAUAGAAAUGGAUUAUAGGAAAUAGAAUAGGUUUAGAAUCAUUACGAAAAAUUGAACUUCAUUAAAGAAAAAAGGCUCAAGACUCUUUGCCAUAAUUAAUUGUAUCGAAAAAGAAUGAUGCGAAUACAUGACAAGAAAGUUUGAUUUAUGUGCUUUUAAGAAAAAGAAUUGGUUUUUAAAAAAAUUCUUUCAAAUCAGCCUAAUGAUAAAAAAAAAUGGAUGUCGAAAUGGGAAUGUGCAUAUGUAGUCAAAAACAUUUUUUUCGAGUGGAAUGUUGAUCUUAGCAAAGAUGGAUGGAGAUGACUUGCCAAACUCAAUAAAUUCAGAUGCUAUGAAAAAGUACUUUGCUUGAGAAAAAGACAAGGAAGGGUGAAAAAAAUGAGAAACAAAAACAAAAACAAAAAAAUAAUGAAAAAAAAGAAAAAAAUUGUGAUGAAUAAGGACUCAUAAUUGAAAACCCAAAAAUGACAAUUUGAGUCGAAGGAAAUAUCUAAGUUAAAAACUUGAAAGAAGGCUUAGACGCAAAAAAGUAUCAAUUUUCAAGUAUAGAGGGCAAUGUCCAAUACAAUGAACUCAGAAGAAUUAAGUGCAUCGAUAGAAUAGGUUUUAAGAGAAAGAAUUUUGGAAUGUUGUUCAUAAUUGUUCGAAUAUUCACUAUCUAAAUAUGAGUCCUUUAUUUAAAUUUUAUACUAGUGCUCACUUGUCUAAACUCCUCACUUAACAUGUCCUUGUACCUUCUUAUAAUGAACAUUUUAUCUUUUUCUAAUUUAGCUUACUUUUUAAUACUUUUCAUUCUCAUAAAUAGAGGAAAUGUUAAUUUACUGCACUAAUCAUGAAAAUUGGAAUUAUGAUAAAUGAUUGAUAAUGUUCGUAAAAGGUUUUGCAUUAGUUUGCGAAAGUCAAGGAUGACAAAGGUAAAAUAAAGAUUAAGAAAAACAAGGGAAAAUUUGAAAAAGUGCUCACGUUCAAAAUCAUCAAGCCAAAAAAAACUUGCUAGAAGUGGUGUCGAAUAACGAUAUUGGCAAAUGAUUGUCACAAUUUAUAGGAAAUCAAUUCCUAAAUUUUGCAAAUCAGUUUGAGAUUGGCUAUUUUUAAAUAAAAAAGAUGAAAAAGUAAAAAUGAUUGACUUAAAGAAUUUUUUUAUCAUAAUUUGCAUGCAUCAUAAUGGUUUCUAAUAAUACCUACAUUGCAUGUAUUGCAUUCAUUGCAUUCAUGAAUUACAUUCUGUAUAUUUUUCAAAGAAACAAAAUUUUGAACUUUCGAUUUUUAAGGUUGAACCUUUCAAAGAAAAGAUUGAGGUAUGGGAAACGAUUUCAAAAUGAGCACAAUUUGCGAGAGCCUCGGGUCAUAAUUUCAUGGAGCAUUUUUUAAAUAAGGUUUUUAAAGUUUUAAAGCCUUUGUUUAUGGGGAGUAAUUUUCAAACAAGAUUUUUUUUAAAGUUUGAAAACCUCUAUUUAUGAGGAGCAAUUUCCAAACAAGAUCUUUAAAGUUUCAAAGCCUUUGUUUAUAGGGAGUAGUUUUCAAACAAAAUUUUAAGUUUCAUAACCUCUAUUUAUAUGGAGCAAUUUUAAACAAGAUUUUAAAGUUUCAAAACCUCUAAUUAGAAGAGCUUUUAUACAUGUAGAGAUUUGUAAGACCUCCGAACAAAACAUUUUAAAUUUUUAGAGUUUCAAGGUCUCUGAUAGAGAAACGUUUAUACAUUUUGAGAUUUGUAUAACCUUUAGUAUAAUCUCUAAGACUUUUAGACAAAACAUUUGAAAUUUUUAAAGUUUCAAUGCCUUUGAUUAUAGGACCAUUGAAAGAUCUCGAGAUUAAUAAGACCCAUAAGCAUAAUCUUUAAGACCUCUGAACAAAACAUUUUAAAUUUUCAAAGUUUCAAUACCUUUUAUUAGAGGAGCAUUCAUAGAUCUUGAUAUUUGUAAGACCUUUUAGCAUAAUUUUUAAGUCCUCCAAUUAGGAUUCGUAACUCUUCUAAGUUGAAUCUAUUUUAGUUUUGAGAUUUGUAAGAUCUCUAGGUAUGAUUUCUUAUUUUAUUUUCAAAAGUUAUCAAGUCAUUGUUUAAAGAAAUAAUUUUGUAAAGUUUUUAAAUAGUCAAAUAUUUUGAAUCCUUUAAAUUAAAAAAAAAAUAAAAUAAAAUAAAGAAGGAAAAGGGAGGGGUUUUCUCUCUUCCAAAGGCAUCAUCUAAAUAAAAUUAUUAUCUACAUCUUACAGUAUUCCUGAUUCUCAGAAAUAUAUAAUGAAGGGUAACUAUAUAGAUCUAAUUUUGUCAAAAAUAUUUUAGUCUAGUUUUGCACGUGGGCUAAAGACCAUUAUUUUUGGGCCCAUUAUAUGGCCCAUAUAAACCUCAAAAUAUGACCCAUGAUGCGACCUUUUAAGAGACCUUUUACCAAGCCCCAAAAUAAAGGCCAAAUCAACCCAUUACAAGCCAAGGAUGAGGCCCAAGAUUGGCCCUAGCAACAACCCAUUUAAAAAGCCUAUUGCAUGACCCGAAUAAGAAAAUUCCAAGCCAAAACAAAACCCAAAAUCUUAGCUCAAAUUAAGGAAGGCCCAAAAUAAAAGAAAAAAGAAGGUAUGGCCUACACAUUUGGAAGCCUAAAAACAAACCAAAAGGAGAGAGCCCAUGGUUGAGAGUUUUACCUAUCUACCUUAAUAUUCUUGCAUGGGAUUUUUCAUGGACAACAAGAAAGAAAAAGAGCAUGGGAUACAAAAGGGAGAAAAAAAUAAGGUUUAAAUGGCAAAAAUAAAAGGUAAAAGAGAAAAGAAAGCUUGAGAAUACCAUUUUAAGUCAUGAAUAUGAAGGGAUAAAAGGGAUAACCUCAGUAUAAGAUAGGCUUAUAGGUCUUGGCACUAGCAACCUAUAGAAAAAAAAAUGAAAGUUAGUGGCUAGCAAAACAACUUACAAAGGUAGUGGAAAGAAAGGAAAAAACAACAAAUGGUGAAACUUAAGAAAGAAGGUUUUUGGGUAAUAUGAUAGGGGGCUUCAGAAGUCCUAGAGGAGUUUUUUUGGCAAGAAAGAAAGAGGAAAAAACCAAAAAAAAGUAGUAACUUUAAAAAGAAAGAAAAAAGAGUUUUCUAAAAAACAAGGAAAAAAAAAAGAAAAAAUGAGUGAUGGCUUUUGGUUUUGAAAGGAGGUGCUACUGAGAGAGAUCUGGAAGUAAAAAAGAAAAAGAAAAAAAGGUUUCAAGAAUCCAUUAAAAAAAAAACCAAAAAACAAGAAUAGCAAAAAAAAUGGUCUUAAAGAAGGGCUGAAAGCCAAUUUUUGUUUAAAAAAAAGAAAAAGAGGAAGAGUCUAGUAAACGAGGGAAGUGAAUGCUUUGAAAAAGGCAAAAAAGGUAAUUAUUUUUUUUUAGGUUGUUUCUAUGCAUAAGUGCUACUAUGUUUCCAUAUAGGGUUUAGAUACACAAAGCUCAAAGUUAUGAGCUUUGUCGAUUUUCCUAUGUGAUUUCAUAGUUUAGAGGUUUAUGAAAGCAUGAGGUAGUAUUUUUUUUAGUAUUUGAAAGCCUAAAAAGUUGUAUUUUAUGUAUUUAUCUUGUUUCAUUUCUUUUUACUUGGCAUGCUGGGAGCUUCACCCUCCCUUAUAAUUGAUUGUUGGCUAUUAGAAACAAAAAAAAAAACUUUUAAAUGGUUUCAAAGUGGGAAGAGAAAAUGGCUUGCGAGAGAGGUGAAGGAAAUUUAUGAAGUUUUUUUGUUUCCUACAUGGAAUCUAUCUAUAUUUGUUAAAGUUAUAUUAUUAAAUCUGCUAUUCUAUGAAGACUAUUCUUAGAUGCUCAUAAUAUUAUUCAUUCCAUAUUUGAUUUUGGUAUGUAUGUGUAUGAACUUUUAAAGUUUGCAUGCUCAUUGGAUUUUUCAUGAUAUAUGGUUCCUUGUGAGGAACUACUACUUUAUUUUGUUUUGUGAAGAUUAUUCUUGGUUGCUCAGAAUGUCAUUCUUUUCUCAUUUGAUUUUGGCAUGCUAUGGGUGUGAAAUUUUAAAGCUUUGCAUGUUCACUGGUUUAUGGUAUGGUGGUUGCUUGUGAGGAAACGAAGCUUAAGGCUUUGCGUGCUUAUUGUGUUUUACACAAUAUAUGGCUGUUUAUAAGGGAUAAAAAGUUUAAAACUAGUAUAUUAUUUGAAGGUCCUACCAUGAACACUAGGAGAAAGCUUAAAAAUUUCAUACCCAUUUCUUGUCCUACAUAGUGAUCAUUUGAAGGGUGGCGAGAAAACUUAAAACUAGGCCAUCAUUUUAAGACCUCACCACCCAUGUUUUUUUAUCUUAGGCUUAAUAUAGGUUUGUAGAUAAUAUAGCACAUUUGUUUUUUGUAUUAUAUAUAUAUAAUCCAUUUCUUUCAUGUUAUUGAGUUUAAUAUAAGUCUAAAUCUCAUAUAUUAUGAUAUAUGUGUUGUUUGAACUUUUAUAUUAAAUUUAAUUCCAUGCAAUUUAAUUUCUUACAUUGUAAAUUAUUUUGUUUAUUUAAUUUAUUUUUUAUGCACACUAACUUCAUGCAAUAAUAAUAAUAAUAAUAAUAAUAAUAAUAAUAAUAAUAAUAAUAAUAAUCUCCAAUGAUAAGAUUUUAAGAAAAUUCGAGUAGUGAUUCCUUAAAAUUCCUAUGUGAUAAUUUUUUUUUUAAAUACUACCAAAGUAAUAGAAUAUUUAGAAAAAUAUUCAAUACAAAAGAUUUUUCAUUCAUUUAUUUUCUUAAAAUUAUAUUUACAAUUAAAUGAUGUUUUAAAUAAAAAAUAAUGAAAAGGAAAAAUUACUCUUUUUAAUAAUGAAAUUAAUACAAUGAUACUUGAAUAUUACGAUUAACUAUUUUUACUUUUCAAUAAAUAUUAAUUAAUAAUGAUAGUAAUAAAAAUUAAAAAUUAGAAUUAGAAUUAGAUUUAAAAAAUUUAAGUAGAAAUAAAAAGAGAUGAAACAAAAAUAAAAAUCUCCGAUGAUGAGAUUCUAAAAAUUUCGCAUAAAGAUUUAUAAGAAAUCUUUAGGUGAGAAAAUUUAUCUAAAAAAAUCGUCAAAGUAUUAGGGUAUCUAGAAAAAUUUUCAAUAAAAAGAUUUUCUUUGCUUUGUUCCUUUUAAAAAAUUUAAAUAAUAAUGACUGUGAAAUAAUUAGGUAAUUAAAAGGAAAUUAAAAUGAGUGACGAAAAAAUAUAAUAAGUAAUACAUAUUUUAAAAUAUAUAUAAUAUGUAAUAAAAAUUUAAUAAAUUGAAAUAUAAUAAUAAUAAUAAUAAUAAUAAUAAUUUUUUGUAUGCAUAUUGCACUUGUCUUUGGCAUUACAUAAUUUUGAAAGUAACGUGAGUUUUCAAUAAUAGGACUCCGAAAAAUUCGAAUAGUGAUUUUUAAAAAUUCUUUAGGUUAAAAAAUUUUUUUAAAAAUAUUGUCAAAUAAUUGAAAUACUUAAAAUGAUUCUCAAUAUGAAAAAUUUUCGUUUACUUUUUAUUUCUAAAAACGAACUUUCAUGCAAUAACCUCAUAAAUUAAUCCAUGUGCAUCAUAUUAUAAAAGUAAAUGAAUUCUUCGAUGAUAAGAAUCAAAAGAAGUUCGAGUAAUGAUUCUUUAAAAGUCUUUAGGUAAAAAAAAUUAUUUAAAGUGCUGCCAAUGUAUUAGAGCAUUUAGAAUAAUUUUCGAUAAAAAUUUCUUGUUUUUUAAAUAAAUAACAUAAGAAAUGAAUUUUUAGAAAACAUUAUUUGAUUUUAAAUUACAAAUAUCAUUUUUUAUAAUAUGCUUGGCAAAUAUAAAUAUUGAAGAUAAAUAUGAACCGUCGAAAAUAAUAUUCUUAACAAUUUCGAGUAGUGAUUCUUAAAAACUUUUUAGGUGAGAAAAUUCCUUGUAAUAUCACCAGAGUAUUGAAAUAUUUUUAGGGAUAUUCCAACACGUAAGGUUCUUAUUUAUUUUUCAAGCAAACAACUUAAAAAAUCAAAAUAUGUUUUUUUUUUACAAGAAGGAAAAUUAGAAAAUUAAUUUUUAAAUAUCAAAAUUAAGACUUUUUUUAUCAAAAUUAAAUGAUAACACAUAAUUAAUUAGUAUUAUUUUUUUUAACGAACACUGUUGGGGUAUUAAUUCUUUUUCACACAUAAUAGAUUUUCGAACCUAAACUAUUUUGCAAAGUCAAAAAUUAUCUUUUUUUUAUAAAUUUUAAUAAAUUUUUAAAAUUUUAUUAAAAAAAUAAGUUUUAGUAGGUAAUCAAUCAUACAUAAUAAAAAAUAUUAAUGGUGACUCUCAUUUGUUUUUUAAUUUGUCUAGGAGUGCAAAAAUUUCCUAAUGACAGCAAACAGUGAAAUGGGAGCGCGAGGGUGAUAAGAAUACAUAAUUUUUUCAUUGCAUGGCCAACUGUCGGUGGAGAAGCAACUUUCUGGGACACAUCUCUUUCAAAGGCAAACAACUCAGCAAUUCUAUAGAG
rnacentral:lncRNA from 1 species